GGGGGAACAUAUAAAGGUUAGGAUUAAAUUAAUCAAAGAAAUCAAACAUCAAAUAUUCACACGAAGAUUAAAUUAAUCAAAGAAAUCAAACAUCAAAUAUUCACACGGAAAAGAAUUGAUUAAACUGAUUAAUUAAAUCUAAACCAAAAUCCUAAUCUAAUGCAACAUUAACUUCCAUGAUUUUUCCAAGACCUAAGGGGCAAAGAUGUUAACGUAUAUGGAUUUAAUUAAUGUUGAAUUAAAUUUUAGCAAUUAAAACCUAAUUAAAAUCAAUUAAAUCUAAUUAAUCCUAACUAAAUCUACACAUAUUAUGUGAUAAAAAUUAGACUAAUCCACAAUUAACCUAAAUCUAACCUUUAAUCAUGCACAAAAUUAUAGAAAAAUCAGCAACUAAAAAAUAAUUAAAAAACAAAUGAACAAAGCAAUGAGGCAGGGGUGUAUGGGCUCCUGUAAGGGUUUGCAAGGAAAGGUAAAGCGCAGACCCAGCUCAAAAGCCCAUUCUGACUUUAAUUAUGGAUAGGGGUGAGAAAUUUACAGGGAAUCAAAGAAACCGCGUGAGGCUUCAUCAUGUCAUCACGUGUUCAACUCCAAAGUCAAACAUCCUGACUUCCCUCGAUGAAGCGCAGGCCUCCUCCGUUGCGUCGGAGGUCACCUUUCGCAGCGGCGGAGGCUUAAUAUCCUAAAAGAUUACAUCACCCUCUUCUCCUUUCCAUCCCGAGUCCAUAAAUCAUCAUGACAAAACCUAAUUUAACAUCUAUCAUGCGAAUCGAAGCUGCGAAUAGAAGAACCUUAGAUCCUCUAACAAAAAUUAAAUGAUGCCUAUUGAGAAUCAGAGCCUUAGAUGUUAGGGCUUUAACUCUUCUCAGAGUGUCAUACAUGGUGGUAACUCACUUGAAUCGAAAUGAUGAAGAUCGAACAAAAACUCACUGGAGCACCAUGCCAAAAAUGUAAGGCAUGGUGGGCAAGAUAGCAAGUCAUCAUGCAAGGCACAAAAACAAGGUCAAGGCAUGACCAAAUUGGGAAAGCUUGAUUAAUGGAGGAAAUGGUGGCCAUGGAAGAUGCAAUGAUGAAAAUGUGAUUAAUAUUAUGAUUUUAGGAUGAACAAUAUGUUGGUUGACUUUGGUCAACCGGUUGACUAAAAAGUCAACAUUUGUAAAAAAUAAUUUUUUUAAUAUUUCUUUUGUAAUGAACAUUAUACAUGUUAAUGAAUGAAUGGAUGGCCAUCGUGUGAGUGAGA